CGAAACCUGGCGGCGUGCCUAAUACAUGCAAGUCGAGCGGACCAAGGGAGCUUGCUCCUAGAGGUUAGCGGCGAACGGGUGAGUAACACGUGGGCAACCUGCCUGUAAGACUGGGAUAACAUCGAGAAAUCGGUGCUAAUACCGGAUAAUAAAAAGAACUGCAUGGUUCUUUUUUGAAAGAUGGUUUCGGCUAUCACUUACAGAUGGGCCCGCGGCGCAUUAGCUAGUUGGUGAGGUAACGGCUCACCAAGGCGACGAUGCGUAGCCGACCUGAGAGGGUGAUCGGCCACACUGGGACUGAGACACGGCCCAGACUCCUACGGGAGGCAGCAGUAGGGAAUCUUCCGCAAUGGACGAAAGUCUGACGGAGCAACGCCGCGUGAGUGAUGAAGGUUUUCGGAUCGUAAAACUCGGUUGUUAGGGAAGAACAAGUGCCGUUCGAAAGGGCGGCACCUUGACGGUACCUAACGAGAAAGCCACGGCUAACUACGUGCCAGCAGCCGCGGUAAUACGUAGGUGGCAAGCGUUGUCCGGAAUUAUUGGGCGUAAAGCGCGCGCAGGCGGUCUCUUAAGUCUGAUGUGAAAGCCCCCGGCUCAACCGGGGAGGGUCAUUGGAAACUGGGAGACUUGAGUACAGAAGAGGAGAGUGGAAUUCCACGUGUAGCGGUGAAAUGCGUAGAGAUGUGGAGGAACACCCAGUGGCGAAGGCGACUCUCUGGUCUGUAACUGACGCUGAGGCGCGAAAGCGUGGGGAGCAAACAGGAUUAGAUUACCCUGGUAGUCCACCGCCCGUAAACGAUGAGUGCUAGGUGUUAGGGGUUUCGAUGCCCUUAGUGCCGAAGUUAACACAUUAAGCACUCCGCCUGGGGAGUACGACCGCAAGGUUGAAACUCAAAGGAAUUGACGGGGGCCCGCACAAGCAGUGGAGCAUGUGGUUUAAUUCGAAGCAACGCGAAGAACCUUACCAGGUCUUGACAUCCUUUGACCACCCUAGAGAUAGGGCUUUCCCCUUCGGGGGACAAAGUGACAGGUGGUGCAUGGUUGUCGUCAGCUCGUGUCGUGAGAUGUUGGGUUAAGUCCCGCAACGAGCGCAACCCUUGACCUUAGUUGCCAGCAUUCAGUUGGGCACUCUAAGGUGACUGCCGGUGACAAACCGGAGGAAGGUGGGGAUGACGUCAAAUCAUCAUGCCCCUUAUGACCUGGGCUACACACGUG
rnacentral:rRNA from 1 species